CGCGGGGUGGAGCAGUUCGGUAGCUCGUCGGGCUCAUAACCCGAAGGUCGCAGGUUCAAAUCCUGCCCCCGCAACCAA
rnacentral:tRNA from 1 species